rnacentral:tRNA from 1 species
CGACGCGGCGGUGGGCCGGUCAGCCUCCGCUGGUUGGCGCGGCGCUGGGUCCCACGACCCGUUCGAUCCGACUCGGCGUCGGC